GACGAACGCUGGCGGCGUGCCUAAUACAUGCAAGUAGAACGCACAGUUUAUACCGUAGCUUGCUACACCAUAGACUGUGAGUUGCAAACGGGUGAGUAACGCGUAGGUAACCUGCCUGGUAGCGUGGGAUAACUAUUGUAAACGAUAGCUAAUACCGCAUAAUAUUGAUUAUUGCAUGAUAAUUGAUUGAAAGAUGCUAUUGCAUCACUACCAGAUGGACCUGCGUUGUAUUAGCUAGUAGGUGAGGUAACGGCUCACCUAGGCGACGAUACAUAGCCGACCUGAGAGGGUGAUCGGCCACACUGGGACUGAGACACGGCCCAGAAUCCUACGGGAGGCAGCAGUAGGGAAUCUUCGGCAAUGGACGAAAGUCUGACCGAGCAACGCCGCGUGAGUGAAGAAGGUUUUCGGAUCGUAAAGCUCUGUUGUAAGAGAAGAACGGGUGUGAGAGUGGAAAGUUCACACUGUGACGGUAUCUUACCAGAAAGGGACGGCUAACUACGUG
rnacentral:rRNA from 1 species